CGGAGGCCGGGGCGUGGCGCCAGCCGCCCCCUGGGGCUGAGGCCGCCUGGUUGGUCCCCGACUUUCGCCGGUACCCGAGUUUCUAAGCGUCCCGGAAGAUGUUGCAGAGUUAUUUGAGAGGCCCAGAAGACCAUGAUGUAAUUUUCAGAAAAGAACAGAAGAAAAUGUCUGAGAGAAACACAGAGAGAAAGAGCCAGUCCAGGACUUGUAUGUGGAAAUAGCUAGGGAAAUAGAUUAUAACUGGACUCACUCUGACCUUGGCCAGAGCAAACAGAAGAUGAAUGAGCCAGAGCCGAUCCCUGGCUUCUGAAUGAUAGAGCCAGCACACCGUAUACAACAUUCACCCUCCCCCGUCAGAGCUUUUGCCCCGGGCCUCAAUUCUUUCCUCCUGACUCUAGUUUUCUUCUACUUCUCACGGGCUGAGGGACUUCCUUUACAUGUUGGCCUGGAAUCUGGAUAUAAUUUUCUUAUUGGUGUUUGAAAGGUUUUCAUUAGCUAAAUAUGUAAUUAUACACAUAAAUAAAG